rfam:Cucumis melo, WGS project CAJI01000000 data, contig: 15933
AGAGUAAGUAUGAGCCAAGGAUGACUUGCCUGCCCUAAUUUUCUUCAAAGAUAAGCAAUUAAUUCAUCUUCUUUUCAAAUUUGUUUGGGAAGUCAUCCUUGGCUCAUUUUUCCUCUCU